GACGAACGCUGGCGGCGUGCUUAACACAUGCAAGUCGAACGGAAAGGCCCUGCUUUUGUGGGGUGCUCGAGUGGCGAACGGGUGAGUAACACGUGAGUAACCUGCCCUUGACUUUGGGAUAACUUCAGAAAACUGGGGCUAAUACCGGAUAGGAGCUCCUGCUGCAUGGUGGGGGUUGGAAAGUUUCGGCGGUUGGGGAUGGACUCGCGGCUUAUCAGCUUGUUGGUGGGGUAGUGGCUUACCAAGGCUUUGACGGGUAGCCGGCCUGAGAGGGUGACCGGCCACAUUGGGACUGAGAUACGGCCCAGACUCCUACGGGAGGCAGCAGUGGGGAAUAUUGCACAAUGGGCGGAAGCCUGAUGCAGCAACGCCGCGUGCGGGAUGACGGCCUUCGGGUUGUAAACCGCUUUCGCCUGUGACGAAGCGUGAGUGGCGGUAAUGGGUAAAGAAGCACCGGCUAACUACGUG
rnacentral:rRNA from 1 species